GACGAACGCUGGCGGCGUGCUUAACACAUGCAAGUCGAACGGUGAAGCACCUUCCUUUUGGUGGGUGUGGAUGAGUGGCGAACGGGUGAGUAACACGUGAGUAACCUGCCCCCUUCUUCUGGAUAACCGCAUGAAAGUGUGGCUAAUACGGGAUAUUCUGUGCCUGCUGCAUGGUGGGUGUGAGAAAGAUGCGCUUUUGGGUGUUUUUGGUGGGGGAUGGGCUCGCGGCCUAUCAGCUUGUUGGUGGGGUGAUGGCCUACCAAGGCGGUGACGGGUAGCCGGCCUGAGAGGGUGGACGGUCACACUGGGACUGAGACACGGCCCAGACUCCUACGGGAGGCAGCAGUGGGGAAUAUUGCACAAUGGGCGCAAGCCUGAUGCAGCGACGCCGCGUGAGGGAUGGAGGCCUUCGGGUUGUAAACCUCUUUCGCCAGUGAAGCAGGCCUGUCCCUUGUGGGUGGGUUGACGGUAGCUGGAUAAGAAGCGCCGGCUAACUACGUG
rnacentral:rRNA from 1 species